GCCUUAGUUCUCUUUCCCAUCUUGCAAGAUGGCGGGUGAAAAAACGGAGAAGCCAGACACCAAGGAGAAAAAACCUGAAGCCAAGAAGGCUGAUGCUGGCGGCAAGGUUAAAAAGGCUAAGAAGGUUAAGAAGUGGAAGCCCCAUUGCAGCCACAACCCUGUCCUGGUCAGAGGAAUUGGCCAAUAUUCCCGAUCGGCUAUGUAUUCCAGAAAGGCCUUGUACAAGAGGAAGUAUUCAGCAGCUAAAUCCAAGGUUGAAAAGAAAAAGAAGGUGAGGGUUCUUGCUACUGUCACAAAACCAGUUGGUGGUGACAAGAACGGCGGUACCCGAGUGGUCAAGCUUCGCAAAAUGCCUAGAUAUUAUCCUACUGAAGAUGUGCCUCGAAAGCUGUUGAGCCAUUGCAAGAAACCCUUCAGUAAGCACGUGAGGAAACUGCGCGCCAGCAUCACUCCGGGGAACAUUCUCAUCAUCCUCACUGGGCGUCACAGAGGCAAGAGGGUCAUUUUCCUGAAGCAGCUGAGCAGUGGUUUGCUUCUUGUGACUGGACCUCUGUCCCUCAAUCAAGUUCCUCUGCGUAGAACACACCAGAAAUUUGUUAUUGCCACCUCCACCAAAAUUGACAUCAGUGGUGUAAAAAUCCCAGAACAUCUCACUGAUACUUACUUCAAAAUGAAGAAGCUGCGUAAGCCGAGACACCAGGAAGGCGAGAUCUUCGACACAGAGAAAGAGAAAUACGAGAUUACAGAGCAGCGCAAGGCUGAUCAGAAAGCUGUGGACUCACAAAUUCUGCGAAGAAUCAAAGCUGUCCCUCACCUCCAGGGCUACCUCCGCUCUGUGUUUGCUCUCACAAAUGGAAUUUAUCCUCACAAAUUGGUGUUCUAAACUUACUACAUAGAACCUAAUUAAAGAACGGAUCCAUUUCAAAAAAAA